AAAUUAUUGCCAUAUUGUCUUGACAAAAAAAAUCCGUUCCAGAACAUAAUCUUAUGAUUUAUAUAGUACCACUUGUGAUUGAAAAAUAUACGAAUAUACGAUAUUCUCAUGAAAUUCACUAUAUUUUUUUCCGGAGUGUACAAUAGUUAACAGCUUGAAAAAAAAAUAUCGAAGCAAGCUCUGCUUGACUCGCAGAGAAAAAAGUUGACAGUCGAUCGCGAAUGGUCUCCAGGGUUACCGAUGUAUUUUCUGUUCUUGCUGAUGACGGACAUCGAUAAAAACCCGUGAACUUUCGGAUUUUAACUGAACCGGGCAGUUUUGUGAGUAGAUGUGAGUAGGGCGGUAUGUCAAUUGCAACACAUUUUGAUUGUACAACUCCUUCGCGUAACACUGGCUGGUCUGGCGUGACCAGCGGUACAGUUUGAAACUCUCCAAGGUCACGGAAACUAAGCUAAACAGCCACUCAGAUUCUUGACAGGUUUUGCUUUGAACCACGUACUCAUCCACCAUGGACGGAAGACUAACGCUACGUUGCAAUCUGCUUGCCCAGGAAAUUGGAUCCUCGCGAAGAAGAAAUUCUAUUUAAUGCUAGUCCAGUUGUAGACUUGCAAGUUUUUCGAUCUCCUGCCUCUAAUCUGCGGCUGAAUAACCGCCCAAAGUUCCAUCGACAUUGGAGUAUUCCAAACGAUAGCUCUUCGUGGCAAGAAGGAUUGACUCAACGAGGUGUCGUUGCAAUGACGGUUGAAGUCCCGACGGCUAGGGGCAAGCAGGAGGUGGUGAUCGCAUCGGUCUACUUCCCUGACGAUACGGAUACAGCAUAUCUCUCCGAACUAAUGCACAUCAUAUAAUAUGGGGCACCACAGACGUAAAU